AUUGAACGCUGGCGGAAUGCUUUACACAUGCUAGUCGAGCGGCAGCACGGGGGCAACCCUGGUGGCGAGCGGCGAACGGGUGAGUAAUACAUCGGAACAUGCCCAGUCGUGGGGGAUAACACCUCGAAAGAAGUGCUAAUACCGCAUACGUCCUGAGGGAGAAAGCGGGGGAUCUUCGGACCUCGCGCGACUGGAGUGGCCGAUGUCAGAUUAGCUAGUUGGUGGGGUAAAGGCCUACCAAGGCAACGAUCUGUAGCUGGUCUGAGAGGAUGAUCAGCCACACUGGGACUGAGACACGGCCCAGACUCCUACGGGAGGCAGCAGUGGGGAAUUUUGGACAAUGGGGGCAACCCUGAUCCAGCCAUUCCGCGUGAGUGAAGAAGGCCUUCGGGUUGUAAAGCUCUUUCGGCAGGAACGAAACGGCGAGCUCUAACAUAGCUUGCUAAUGACGGUACCUGAAGAAGAAGCACCGGCUAACUACGUGCCAGCCGCCGCGGUAAAAC
rnacentral:rRNA from 1 species